AUUGAACGCUGGCGGCAGGCCUAACACAUGCAAGUCGAGCGAGCGGCGGACGGGUGAGUAAUGUCUGGGAAACUGCCUGAUGGAGGGGGAUAACUACUGGAAACGGUAGCUAAUACCGCAUACCCUCAGAUGUGCCCAGAUGGGAUUAGCUAGUAGGUGGGGUAACGGCUCACCUAGGCGACGCUCCCUAGCUGGUCUGAGAGGAUGACCAGCCACACUGGAACUGUGAAACGGCCCAGACUCCUACGGGAGGCAGCAGUGGGGAAUAUUGCACAAUGGGCGCAAGCCUGAUGCAGCCAUGCCGCGUGAGUGAAGAAGGCCUUCGGGUUGUAAAGCACUUUCAGCGGGGAGGCGUUACCUGAAGAAGAAGCACCGGCUAACUCCGUGCCAGCAGCCGCGGUAAUUC
rnacentral:rRNA from 1 species